rnacentral:rRNA from 1 species
AGUGAACGCUGGCGGUAGGCCUAACACAUGCAAGUCGAACGGCAGCACAGUAAGAGCUUGCUCUUACGGGUGGCGAGUGGCGGACGGGUGAGGAAUACAUCGGAAUCUACUUUUUCGUGGGGGAUAACGUAGGGAAACUUACGCUAAUACCGCAUACGACCUACGGGUGAAAGCAGGGGAUCUUCGGACCUUGCGCGAUUGAAUGAGCCGAUGUCGGAUUAGCUAGUUGGCGAGGUAAAGGCCCACCAAGGCGACGAUCCGUAGCUGGUCUGAGAGGAUGAUCAGCCACACUGGAACUGAGACACGGUCCAGACUCCUACGGGAGGCAGCAGUGGGGAAUAUUGGACAAUGGGCGCAAGCCUGAUCCAGCCAUACCGCGUGGGUGAAGAAGGCCUUCGGGUUGUAAAGCCCUUUUGUUGGGAAAGAAAAGCAGCAGGUUAAUACCCCGCUGUUCUGACGGUACCCAAAGAAUAAGCACCGGCUAACUCGUG